GGCGAGCCAAAUCAAAGGUAACCAUGGGUCAACUUUGGCCCGCGGGCUCUAUAUUGGGGAUCUCUGCACUGGAGGAAGAGUAAAAAGUGGGUAAAUCUUUAUUUUGGGUGACAUAUCGCUUAAUGUUAAUAAUAGAAACACCACAUGUGUGUGUACCUGUGAGCGGGUCUGCAGCUGGAUAUGUCUCCCACCACCCCCUGCAGUGCUGAAGCUGAUCUCCGGUGGAGUAGCAAUGGAGUUUAUUUUUCGCUACAUUUUAAGCCACAGGUAAAGAAAAUAGCGAGGAAGAAGAGAAAACGACGCUAUUUGUCAGUCUAGCUACAUGUAUAUGUGCUGCCGAAGCAAGCACGAACUAGGAGCCUGGAGAACUGCUAUAUAAACCCGGGACUUCUGGGCAUGCGCGGACCUUCCCCCGCCGCAGACCAGAGGACAACAUGCUCAGACGCCAGCAAACGGCCCAUCGAAACAUUCACAGACUCUCGGAGGCUAAAGAAGAUCUCGAAAGACCUGAAAAGCUGAGAUCAAAGCAGCCAUUGAACUCACAGCCGAAGAAACGUUCAAGCUAAUGUGAAGGCUAGUGCUUCAGCUUCAUGUGCUGAGUAACAUUCUCAGGCGUAGCGUAGCGUAUUUUUAAUGCUUUAAAUGAGGUUUAGUUGCACCGAAAUGAGUCGUAAUGAUGAAUAUUUCUCAACUAUAUCUUACUUAUACACUCUUUUAUCUGCAUAGCUUAAAAGAGGGGUAUUUCUAUCAAAAAAUGAAAGUUUACUCAUCAUUUACUCCACCGUUAACCCAGCUUGAGUUUCUUUUUUGUAGUUAAGCACGAAAGAAAAUGUUAUGAAGAAUGCUGGACAUGGGUAGCAAUUGAUAUCUAUGGAGGAAUGAAAUUCCACACAGAAAGCUACACAGGAAGGAUGCAUUUAUUUAAUUUAAAAAUAAAGCAGUAAUACUGUGAA
ensembl:processed_transcript